rnacentral:rRNA from 1 species
UACAGAGGUCUCAAGCGUUGUUCGGAUUCAUUGGGCGUAAAGGGUGCGUAGGCGGCGCGGUAAGUCGGGUGUGAAAUCUCGGGGCUUAACUCCGAAACUGCAUUCGAUACUGCCGUGCUUGAGGACUGGAGAGGAGACUGGAAUUUACGGUGUAGCGGUGAAAUGCGUAGAUAUCGUAAGGAAGACCAGUGGCGAAGGCGGGCUC